UCACACUGACUUCCCCAGAUCUGGGGAGAAACAGAAAAGUCCUUUUCCUAUGUUUCCAGUAUGACCAGUUUGACAAUUUCAGAAGAAAGAACAAGAACUAGAUACUUUUUAAAAAAUUUAGCUGAGUCUUUUCCAGGAAUUGUGACAAUCCCUGUCUCAGCCCCCCAGGCUUCAGAAAAGCAAAUAGUAAUCAAUAAAUAAACAUUUACUUUAUAAAUACAUUGACCUACCUUCAAACUGUAUCUUUUUCUUAAAUCCAGGGGUGCUUAACCACUGAGCCACAUCCCUUAAAAUUUUUUUAAAUUUUGAACCACAGCCCUUUUUAAAAUUUUGAGAGUCUUGCUAAGUUGCUUAGGGCCUCACUAAAUUGCGUAGGCUGGCUUUGAACUUGUGAUCCUCCUGCCUCAGCCUCCUGAGUUGCUGGAUUCACAGGUAUGUACCACUGUACCCAGCUUCAAACUGUACCUUGAAGAAAAAUAUGAAUCAGUUCCAGAAUCAGUGGGAAGACUGUGAUGUCAUUCAUGCCACAAGGUAAUGAUGCAAACAUGCUGCAUCAGGGAGUUUAAAACUUGAAUGUGCCUAAGAAUCACGGGGACAAAUUUUUGGGCCCCAUCCUUAGAGGUUCUGAUUCAGACAGUCUAAAAUAGAACGUGAUACUUUGCAUAAUGCCAGUACUGUCUGUCUUAGGGCCACCCUGAGCAGCAUUGUACCACAGCAGAAUGCAAGACUCAGACUCAGCCUAGAGAAGUUUGCUCAUUUGCUUCAUGGUUACAGAAUGACCUCAUAAGAACACAAAUUCUGUACAGUGGAAACUCAGGAGAUGAACGCAAUGAUGGGGGCGUUUCUAAGAGAACAGCAUAAUUGUCCCUAUUAAUCUCUUGUCCUCUCUUGCUGGGUUGGUAUUUUAAAACUUUCAGAAUGUUUUUAAAGGAAAUAUUAAAUCUCUGAGUAUAAUUUACAGUAACUGGUUUGAGUAGCUAGGUUUUCUUAGAGCAAAGCAGGUGACAGUAUGACCAUGUUCCACUCACUUUACAGUGGCAUCAGACCUUGAUUUUCACAUUAAACAAGAAUGAUUCUUAAAUUUAUGACUAGAGAAAAUGUGUACUUUUAGUUUUAUUAGAGUAACUGUAAUACAGCACUUUUUGAAUUGCUAGGGAAACCCAAGCGGAACUAUUUUAUAACCCUCAAAACAAAGGAACAGAAAAGUUCCAUCUAGACUUGGCCUUGGCCCCAGGGGUUCAGAUGGGAUUGUCAGGUGCUCCUGGGAGUUGGGCUUAUUCUGUGCAUGAACCACCACCAUGGCUGGGGAACAGCAAGGAGGGACAGUAGGUGAAGUCUCAGACGUGCGUUAGGGUCCAGUUUGUGUCUCAUUUUCUGUCUUAGUGGGUUUAGAUUGUUUUUCAAUGCUAGGGAUGGGACCCAGGGCCUCACGCAUGCUGAGCACCAGCUGUACCACUGGGCUCUAUUCUGAGCCCCAACGCUUCCUAUCUUGGGGUUCUUUCUCUGCCUCACUGGGUAGUCACUCCCCAAUUAUUUUGACAUCUGUUGAUCCUUCUUUUCCUCUCAUUACUGAUUAUCCCUCCUAGCAGACUUCCUUUUCAGGGUCAUGAUGUUUGUGGAUAGAUAUGAGCUGACCUGACUGGGCCGUGUCUAGAAUGGGGAAAGCCCGCCCAAUUGCUCGGUUAAGAAAGAAGGAAUUAGAGCCUGGCAGGCAGGUUGCUGCCAACACUCCCUUGGGCCGCUGGCUGUACACAGCUGCUCUGUGUGCUAGCAACUCUUAUUAGCCAAUUAAAAACAACCAAGUUCCUCUGUUUAUCACACUUGAGUUACUAAGAGCAAGUGUGUUUGCAGGAAAUUAUGCUGUAUAUUUUCCCCUAAGUGCUUAAAAAAUUAGUGUUGCAGAAUUUUAUCUUUUAAUCCAAGAUACUCUUAUCCCCUGUAAAAUCUGGGGAUAAGAAGUGGUUUUGUGAUAUUAAAAUAUGUAAUUAUAUAAGCUAUAGGUUACUUACAAGUAUUCUUCCAGUAAAAUUCUGUAUAAUGGCAUUAUGAAAGACUUUGAGUUCUACUUCAGUACUCCAAUUUUGAAUAAGAAAGAUUAAGCAUUUUACCCUAGUUAUAUAGUUUAUGACAAAAAGGAAAGCCCACCCUUGGUGGGGCUUGGGAGAGGCAGAGUAAAAGCCUAGAGGACUUUGUCAGAAGUUACACUAGGAGGAGAGAGAGGAGACGUAACAGAGCAGUCUUAGAACUAUGGUCUAAUUUCAUUUUACACUUACUAUUUUCUAAAAUGACCUGGAUUUUUUAACAUCAACUUAACUAUAUUAAAGGGAAGGGCACAAAUGGGGCACCAGAGGAAGAGAAGGAAAGUUAACAUGACAAUUUGUUGACCUAAUGUAACUAAGUUCCUGCUACAGCUGUUACAGGCUGUCUGGGCCUUUUUCCCCACCUGGAAAGAUCCUCCCCCAAAAGUGCACUGACAGAUCUUCUUAUGAUGACAACUGCAAGGACAUUCUG
rnacentral:lncRNA from 1 species